ACGCACAUGCACGCAGAGACACACAGAGGAAAACUUGAGAUAUAAGUAAUGAGAGUAGGAGGGAAAGAGAUAAAUUGCAAGAGUGGCGGUGGCAGUAGUGAUCGCAGAGGGCUGUGUGAUGUGGUUAUUGAUUGUUGUGCCUGACAACAAUAGGCGGGAGAGGCCGAACAUGGUUCUCUCACUCAGACACACACAGGACAGACAGACAGACACAAGCAACAUGGACUUGACCAGCAAGACCAAACGAGAGUGAGUGAACAUGAAGAACACAAUGCAAGCUCAUGAUGUCAACAGAUUCUGCAAAAUCAGGGAGACACACAGACAGACAGACAGACAAGAAAUAAUUAUGGUUUAAUUCAGGGUACCUGUCUACCCUUUGUGCCAGACAACAGAGAUAAUUUCUAGCACUGACAUAUGUUGCUGAAAACUGUUCCUUUGGAUACAUUCGUUUGUAUUACUGUCAUUGGCGGUAACAUCUAUUAACCUCAUACCACCCUUAUCGUCACCGCCACUACCGCUGCACACCAUCGCUACUACCACCACCACUGCCACCACCACCACUGCCACCACCACGACCACAACGACAGCUACAACCAUUGUAGUGACAGUAACUGCUACUAUAACUCCUACUGCAGCUGUAAUAACAACUACUACUUCAACUACUACCUCAGCAAACUCCACAACCACAACUACCACUAAUACUACUUCUACCUCAGCAAUAGUAUUCGCUACCAAAACUACUACUACUACU